AUUGCACCAAACAAACUCAUAAACUUAAGAGUUAUUCAAAUUAGGUACAGCUUAUUUGAAAUAGGAUACAACCUCCACCAUUGGGUAAAAGUGGGCGAUAAAAAUAAAGUGGGCCCAAAAGCAGCCACCUUUAAAAUAGCGUCAAAGCUUAACUAUUUUAAGCCCGUAAUUACUAAAACAUACCUGAACCCAUAACCCCCAUUGAACUAUUUUAUAUCAUUAUAAAAACGAUUAUGCUAGAACUAGUAACAAGAACUUGCCCUUCUCCUCAUGUAAGCAUAAACCAAAAUGGACACUCCAUCGGUAAUCAACGUAAAUGCCAGACUAUAACAACAUAUACCAGAAAACCCUAUAGCUCACCAAACGUUACCCUAACACCAGAACAUCUCAGGAAAGAUUAAAAGAGAGAGAAGGAACUCGGCAAAUUUUAGCCCCGCCUGUUUACCAAAAACAUCGCCUCUUGAACAAACAUAUGAGGUCCAGCCUGCCCAGUGAUAACAUUCAACGGCCGCGGUAUACUAACCGUGCAAAGGUAGCAUAAUCACUUGUUCUUUAAAUAGGGACUUGUAUCAACGGCAUCACGAGGACUAUACUGUCUCCCCUCUCCAAUCAGUGAAACUGAUCUCCCCGUGAAGAAGCGGGAAUUAAUAUAUAAGACGAGAAGACCCCAUGGAGCUUUAAACCCAGUAUACACCCCUUUUACCCGGCACCAAUUUAAUUUCAAAGGCCUGUACACUAGUUUUAGGCUGGGGGGGCCACGGAGUAAAAUUUAACCUCCACAACAAAUGGGCUAAUUACCCUUAACCAUGAUUUAUAAAUCUAAGAAUCACAAAAAUGAUGUUUAAUGACCCGAUAUAUUCGAUCAAUGAACCAAGUUACCCUGGGGAUAACAGCGCAAUCUACUUCAAGAGCCCAUAUCGACAAGUGGGUUUACGACCUCGAUGUUGGAUCAGGGCAUCCCAGUGGUGCAACCGCUACUAA
rnacentral:rRNA from 1 species